AGGUGCUACUACACGUCCAGGGCGAGCGUGCCGGUACCUGUACUGUUAUGUCUGUCUCCUCUCUGCCGGAAUGGAAGCAACUCCUGCUGGAGAAAAAGAGGCGCGAGGAGGAGGAGCGGGGCAGGAGAGAGAAGGAGGAGGAGGAGAAGCUGGCCAGCAUGCCCGCCUGGAAGCGAGGGAUCAUCCAGCGGCGGAAGGCGAAGCAGGAGACGCUGGGCGACAGGGAGAAAGAAAGAGACGCGUGUGUGCUGCAAGUGGAGGCCAGGUCGUCUGCAGACGCUCUGAGUGACACAGACAGCUCUGUUACCAUAAACCUGGGAAGUGAACUGUCACUGAGUCCGGAUCCUGCGCUGUGGCUCGAUGCGGACCUGAAAGCACUGAGUCAGGUGUCCCUGGAAACCAUCGUCCCACUCCACGAAAACCCCUUCAUCCGCACGCAGAGCGCGUGGAGGAGGAGCAAAGACGCAGACGCAGGGAGCGAGGCUGAGGGCAACGAGAGGGAGAAGGACAAGUCCAGCCCCAGGGGCCAAGAUGGGGAGUCAGGGAGAGGACGAGAGAUAGAGCUGAAAAUAGAGAGAUUCAGGGAUUUAAGUGAGGGGCGAGAAAUAGACAGAAGCAGGGACAGGAGUCAAGGAAGAGAAAGAGAAAGCAGCAGAGAGGGAUGGGAGAAAGAGAAAAGUCAGUGGAAGGAGAUGGUUAAAGAUGCCACAAGGGAGAGAGAAGUCCUGAAAGUAAGAAUAGAAGAGGAGGAAAAAGAAACGGAUCCCCCAUCUGGUUCGGCCCACGUGCCAUGUAUGCGGACCAUCCGAGCCGACAACAUCAUUAUCAUUGAGCAGGACAGGACGGGCGGCGACGAGAGGAGAGGGAGAUGGAGAGAAGCGGAAAGAGAGACGCCCGACGAGGACCCCCGGGAGAAGAGGGGCAUGAAAAUGGAUCUGAGGGAGAUCCUGGCUGGAGGCGGCAGCGUCACCGAGAUCCGGGCGUCGGAGGUUCUGAUCAUAAAGCCUCCUGUGAACCCGGAGGAGAAGAAUUCCGCCAGCAAAGGCAGGGAGAACGGAGAGGGCAGCGUAGACGUGCGGAGGGAGAGCACGAACAGGGACUUCAGGACAGACGUGUCCUGGCUGCGAGACAAGGAGAAGGAGAGGCCGUGGGGCCAGGCCACCGUCAUCAAAGAGGACAAAAAGGACAGUUUGGACGAUAACGUGUUUGUCGAGAGGGGGGGGAGGGUCAGUCAGCUGCUGAGUAAAUUCGGGGAGCACCCCAAGCCUCCAUCUCGAUCCAAAAGCUCUGACAACUUCCUCCGGCCUGGGAGGAGGAAAUACUCAGGCGACGAGGACGAGCAGCAGUCUGAGGAGAGGAAGGCAGACGGGAGGAGUCUGGGGUGGAAGGGCGUCCCCAAGCGCUCCUUCAGCUUCUCGGACCGAGCCCUGUCCGCCGAGGAGAAUGGCCUGGAUGAGGAGGGCUCCCACCAGAGGAGGACCCGCCAGAGAAUACAUUCAGACAAGGGGUCACAGGAGGAGACCCGGGAGGGGAUUAAACUGCUGUAUGCACAAGAUGCAGAUCGGUUGGGAAAGCACAGACCCGUGAGGGGGGAACCUGUGCAGAGGAGUGUCUCGGUCCAGCACAGGCAAGACAAGCGGGCUGCAGAGAAGCCCGGGGAUGCGGACGGGGACCAGGGGUUCACGGUGGCGUCGGUCAGAAACACGGAGGGAAUCUCGUUCGCCCGGAGGGUCCCGAUCAGACAGGAGGGGCGAGCGAAAAGCGAGAGAGAGCCGAGGAGGCCGACGGGCGAGAGGAGCUCGGGGAGGGAGCUGAGCAAAGACGCAGAACCGGGAGGGAAGGCGGAGGCGCAGCUUUGCAACAAGGGGCGCGAGGAGGGGGGGUUUGAGGAGGGGUCGUCAUCGCUGGACGCAGUCGGUGCCUGUCCGGCGGCAGACGCCUCCUACAAACACGAGUCCGCCUUCGCGGAGAGCUCCAGCCUGCUGUGCACAGUCACAGACAGGGCCAGAGAGUGGAGCGCCGCCGGCCCACAAGCGCCCUACUCCUCCGUCCUGUCCCAGCAAACGGAGGACCUCAUCAGUAAGAUCGAGAAAAUAGGAGAGACGACGGUUUACAGCAAUGAAAAGGGCGAGAGAGCGUACGAGGCCGCAGCGGAGGCCAGGCUGGAGGAGUACAGCUCCGCUGCUUCAGACGGCCUCAACCGGGAUGGACCCGCGAGGUCUCCAAGGAAGAUAACGCCCACAAGCCCCCUUGAGAUCCAGAUCCCCAGGACGGUGUUUUAUGUCGCAGAAGAAACGGUGGAGAGAAAAACGGCUGCGUGUCACAGCGUGGAGGGGCAGCGCUGGGAAGGGGGGAGAGGGGUCGAGAAGAGGGACAGCUGGAGGGUCGGGAAACCCCUGAGCCGCAUCGAGUCCCUGCGAGAGCAGAUCAGGCAGAGGGAGCUGGAGAGGCUGAGGCAACGACGCGGGGACGGGGGCGAGGCCGCGGAGCGCGGAGGGGACCCGUACGACGAGAGGGGGGCCGAGGGGGAGACGGGGCGGGAGGCUCACAGGAAGAGGCCGGGCGAAGCAGAGGCGGCGCGGGAGGACGCUGGCGCGGCUGCGUUUGACGUCACGCAGGAAGCCGGCGUGUCGAAAACCUGCCCUCAGCUUCCUGUUUCUGUGUCACAGUCGCGAGCCGUCGCGGGAGAGGAAGCGACGAGUCGGUGCGCGGCCGCAGCCCUCGACCUGAGCUCCGGCAGCUCCCAGGCAUCCCAGGAUGAAGACGAGCCGCUGCAGCAUGAGGAGCAGCUGAGGAGCCACAGGGAGGACGACAGAGCGGAGGAAGCGCCCACGGGGGAGGAGGCCGAGGAGUCGGCGGCACCCGCGAGUCCUGCGCGCUCCCCCCCCUCGUCGCCGCCUCACAACUCGCUCGCGGCCAUGAGCCGAAUCUACAAGCUGGAGAACGUGGGCUCCAGGUCCGCUUUGUGUCUGAGGGACAGGAAAGCGGACGCGCCGACGGUGCACCUCGCUAGAGUGAGGCCUUUGGCCUCGAACGCAGCGCAGGGAGACGGCGAGGCCCCGGCGGGGGAGGACCUGUGCGGCGUUCAGACGAUACAGCGGCAGAUCGAGCAGUUCCAGCUGAAGGAGCAGCAAAGCCCCCGGGGAGGGUCAAAGCCGCGGGGAAAGGACGGCGAGCAGGAAACCGCGGAGCCGGUGCCCAAGAUGUCUCCCCAGCGUGCGUGUUCUCCAACGCCCCACAACAAACAGACCAUCACCAUCACGGCGUCGUUCCUCAGAGGCCGCCCUCAGGACGGCUCCCUGAAACCCACCGACUGCGCCCCGACCCCCAGCUCCUCCCCGAGCUCCCCGUCCCCCGCUCCGUCCCCCAGCGCCUCCCCGUCCCCCACGCCGUCGCCCGUCCCCUUCUCCAUCAGGAGCGCCUCCGGGGGGCAGGUGAAGAGAGGCGCCACCAUAACCAUCACCCCACGGAAACCCGCCAGCGCCGGGCCCGCGGCGCCGUCCGUCACCGCCGGGCCCGUGCCGGCAAAGGCCCCGCCGCCGCAGACCCAGACGCCCCCCGUCAUGGCCGACGCCAGGAAGAGGUACCCCACGGUGGAGGAGAUCGAGGUGAUCGGUGGAUACCAGAACCUGGAGAAGUCCUGUUUGGUCAAGAACAGAGUGACCCCGAAGAAGGUGAACGUGUGCUUUGACGAUGAGCAGCUGGAGCAGGUGUGCGAGUACCCGUCGGAGACCUCCAUGCUGGGCUGCAGCCCGUACCCCCCGGACCCGGCGAGGGCAGAGCGGCCGCAGGGAGGCGACGCGCAGGAAGAGGAGGGCGAGGCGGAGGCCGAGGCCGCGGCCGUGAUGUCCAAGAGCAGCAGGAGCGCCGGGAUGUCAUCACGGGGUCUGAGAACCAUUCUUGCCCAAUAUAGAAGCCAGUCACCGUCGCCACAAUUGCCCAUGUGA
ensembl:lncRNA